GUACUGCUCUUUGGCAGCACAUACACUAAAAUUGGAACAAUACAGAGAUUAGCAUGGCCCCUGUGCAAGGAUGACAUGCAAAUUCGUGAAGCGGUCCAUACUUUC
ensembl:snRNA U6 U6 spliceosomal RNA